GCCUCUUGGACUGGGACAACUGUUGGAAACGACAGCUAAUACCGGAUAUUAUGAGAUUCUCGCAUGAGAAACUUAUGAAAGCUAUAUGCGCCAAGAGAGAGCCUUGCGUUCCAUUAGCUAGUUGGUGGGGUAACGGCCCACCAAGGCGACGAUGGAUAGCCGGCCUGAGAGGGUGAACGGCCACAAGGGGACUGAGACACGGCCCUUACUCCUACGGGAGGCAGCAGUGGGGAAUAUUGGACAAUGGGCCACAAGCCUGAUCCAGCAAUUCUGUGUGCACGAUGAAGGUCUUCGGAUUGUAAAGUGCUUUCAGUUGGGAAGAAGAAAGUGACGGUACCAACAGAAGAAGCGACGGCUAAAUACGUGCCAGCAGCCGCGGUAAUACGUAUGUCGCAAGCGUUAUCCGGAUUUAUUGGGCGUAAAGCGCGUCUAGGCGGAAAAAUAAGUCUGAUGUUAAAAUGCGGGGCUCAACUCCGUAUUGCGUUGGAAACUGUUUUUCUAGAGUACUGGAGAGGUGGGCGGAACUACAAGUGUAGAGGUGAAAUUCGUAGAUAUUUGUAGGAAUGCCGAUGGAGAAGUCAGCUCACUGGACAGAUACUGACGCUGAAGCGCGAAAGCGUGGGGAGCAAACAGGAUUAGAUACCCUGGUA
rnacentral:rRNA from 1 species